AAAAAAAUUAUAUUCCAGCCUUCGUGUUAUGAAACUUGAAGAUGCAGACCUAUAAUGUAAUCCAUUUCAAUUUCAUUUAUUAAUUUAAAUUCUGGCAGAGCGAGGAAUGUAUUGGUGUUACAAUGAUGUUUAUUAUUUUUUAAUCUGUGAACAACUUUUACAAGCAAAUUUGCAAUUUUACAGUGAUAGCACUUUUUUUAAGAGAAAAUCUGACAUGGCACUUUAAAGAGGUCAUUUUUUGAUUUCCCUAGGAGUUUUCUCAAUAAAUUGGAAAAACCGAAAAAAACCACCGGAAAACCAGGAAAACGGGAAUAUAGGUACAAUAUUUUUUUUUUUUUUUAAGCAAUUUUAUUUACAAUCUAUACAACAUUAUGUAUAAUGAGCAAAUUUGAUAGUUGAUGUAAUAUAAAGUAACAGAAUUUAGCAUUUGUGGGCAGGCACUCAGCAGCACCACCCGAAGGUACAAUAUUAAACAAAUAUUAUUAAAGAAAAUAUACAAUGCCAAUGUAAUUAUUUUACCAUAAUAUGACAUAUAUAUUGUUGACAAAGUGUUUUUAACACUAUCAACUGAACUCCACUCAGAAUCAUUUUUUCGUUAGCAAUGGUUUACCAUU